GAUGAACGCUGGCGGCGUGCUUAACACAUGCAAGUCGAACGAGAAUCCAGUGAAGGAGUUUUCGGACAACGGAUCUGGAGGAAAGUGGCGGACGGGUGAGUAACGCGUGAGCAAUCUGCCUUGGAGUGGGGAAUAACGGUUGGAAACAGCCGCUAAUACCGCAUGAUGCGUCUGGGAGGCAUCUCUCUGGACGCCAAAGAUUUAUCGCUCUGAGAUGAGCUCGCGUCUGAUUAGCUUGUUGGCGGGGUAAAGGCCCACCAAGGCGACGAUCAGUAGCCGGACUGAGAGGUUGGCCGGCCACAUUGGGACUGAGACACGGCCCAG
rnacentral:rRNA from 1 species